UAUAUACUCCCUCCGUCCAAAAAUACUUGUCAUCAGAAUGAACAAAAAAAGGAUGUAUCCCGAACUAAAAUACGUCUAGAUACAUCCCCUUAUAUCCAUUUUGAUGACAAGUAUUUCCGGACAGAGGGAGUACUAA
rfam:Triticum aestivum genome assembly, contig: Triticum_aestivum_CS42_TGACv1_scaffold_423218_5BS